UGGUUUUUGGGACAUUUGAAUGGACAUUCAUAUUCACCCGCCUUGUUAUUUUUUUCUAAAUACUUUGUGAUGUUUCUGGACACGUUAUAUGCCGUUAUAUGCAAAUAGUACUGUAUGGUAUCAGUGGCGAAUAUUUGGGGAUUUCAAUAAGGCACCUGGGACAACUACGGGGGUCCUCAGUACCCGGAAGUAGUUGACAGUGAGCGGGAGUUUCGCCGGGUCGUGACUGUAACUGCCGCUGUUGUGUGUGUUUCAGGUGAUUGCGACGCACCGCAAGCCCUGCAAUGAACCAUUGACGCCUUCAAAGAUAAUUCGUCAACAAAUGCAGAGGCGCCUCGCUCUACAUGCAUGUAAUCUAGGAGACAAGGAAGAAUGAAAGGAGAACGCCGUGUGGAUGAAGGCAGAAGAAAUGGGAUGACAGUGAGAAGAAUAAGAAAGAGAUGUUCGUGAAGGGCUAAAGUGCAGUUUGUCACCUGUUUGCACCACAAUGGAAAAGUGCGGCCCUGCGCAGGAAGUGCUGAGGGUGCGUGGGAGGUGCAAGUGUUAGAAAAGAAGGUUCCCGUUGCCAUAAUUUCACAUCUGGAAAAGUGAGGCCGCUCAAAUAGCAGUGGCUGGCUCUGGAUUCCUGCAGAAAUUGUGUAUGCACACAUUCUCAGGU